UAAACCCUAUUUUGUAUUUUGUAGAGUUAGCUGAAGAACCAUUUUGUAAAUUUAUAGCUAAUUCUUGUGCCUCAGUGGUAUGCACUCUUAUAAUUUUGUAAGGGAUGAAUUUAACUUUCGUUGUACAUAUGACAUUAAUGCACUUGUACUUGUUCUGUUAUUAGACAUCAUUACCUUCUGGGUAUCGGGAUCUCACAAUAG
rnacentral:lncRNA from 1 species